UCUUAACCAUUUUUAAGUGUACAGUUCAGUAGUUUUAAGUAAACUCAUAUUGUGCAACAGGUCUUUAGAACUUUUUUGUUUUGCAAAACUGAAACUCUAUGCUCAUUGAACACCAUCUCCCCCCACCCUCCAUUUUAUGGGUGAAGUAAUAAUCUGUAAACAAAUAUUUUAGCGGAAUUGCUACAAUGGCAAGAAGUCCUGCUUUUGUAAAAUGAAGGAUUUGCUGAUGUACAUGUGUUUCUUUUUUCUCAUCUAGAUGAAGUUCCUUCAAGUCAUGGACUCCAUAUUGCCAUUGUGUUGCAUCUCAACAGUUAGCAUCUUGGACGGUGUGGACACUGACCAUGGAGAUCACUUGUGCAAGGAUGGGAAAGAUUAGGGAGGUAGGUCAUAGAAAGGAGUAAAGUCGACGAGAUGGACUUCCUGGAUACCAUAUCCUUCCUGCGUUCAUUUUCCUACUUUGGACAGAGACACGGAUACAAGGAAGCUGAUGUGGCGUUGCACACUCUGGAUCUGAUGCUCCAGGGACACGGUAUCCAUGGCAACCCAGGCCUGGGCCCCGCCUGGGGGGAAGAUGAUAAGCCAAUCCAUCUGCAAAUCCAGUUGUCUCUACCUUUGAAAACGUGUAUGCUGGGUGCCUGGGUGGCUCAGUCGUUAAGUGUCUGCCUUCGGCUCAGGUCAUGAUCCCAGGAUCCUGGGAUCGAGUCCCACAUCGGGCUCCCUGCUCGGCGGGAAGCCUGCUUCUCCCUCCCCCACUCCCCCUGCUUAUGUUCCCUCUCUCGCUCUG